AUUUCGUUUUCACCUGCUGCAAAACACAAGGAUAUCUUACAUCUGUACUGCAAAUAUCAUUAACGAUAAAGUGUUCUAAGAUAACCUCCUAGAAUGAAAUCAAUAACAGUCAAAGAUGGUAGGUGCCAUCACCAUGCUCUUCAUUCAUGUGAAGAUGCAGAAAUACUUCUACAGAGAGAGGUGUUUCAAUAAGACAAUUAGCUUUGUUUAAAAAGAAUCCGCAAGUACGAACACACCAAAUGGAGACCAGUAAGAAAAGGGUGUUCAACCUUAUGCUUCACCUUAAAUGCUUACCACUCAUGCGCUUCACCUUUGAUUUUUCAAUAGAAGCCACCUUCUGAAGUCUAAUCUGCUCCCUGAACUUGGCUAUGAACUCACCAGCCUUCUUAUCAACCUCAUUAGGGUCACCUCCUGCAUCACUCACAAAGUCAGUCACACUACCUUCAUCUGAGCUUGCCGGAGUGCUGUCAGUCUUACUCUCCAAGUCAGUUUCAGAUUCCACAGCAACAUUCCCCAAACCUUCUUCCUUUUCUUUCUUCAGAUAUUUUGCAUAUGUUGGCAUUGGCACAUCGUAGUGAGUAUCAAGAUUCUUCUUGUUAAUGCCACCUGACAUAUUAUCCAUUCCUUCCCUUUUCAUUUCGUUUUUCCCUGUAUUUACUGCUUUUGCUACAUCAGAACCUUCUCCAGCCUUAUCAUCGAUGUGGGUUUUGAUCAUCUCUCCAAACUUUAUUGACUCUGGAGUAUAUACACCACUUCUAAUAGUCCUAACUGAUUUUCCCUUCGAUGUAGGUUUAGCGACCGUUGCAGUUGCAAGUUUCCUAUCCAAUUUCAAAGCACCCUGCCCCCUCUCUUUACUAGCCAGUGAAUCUUCUUUUCUGCCACUCAGAUCCUUUAACUUAUCUUUUGAGGUUCCGCGCAAAUCCUUUUGGAACAAGGAGCCACUACUGUAUCUCCUUAAAUGAAAUGCAUUCAGUCGAGCCUCGCGAUUCACUGUUGUUUGUGGUGAUUGUGAAGCAGGAGGAUAUGAUGCACGGAAAUCCUUCUUUUUCCCCGAUUCUUCUGUUCCUGAAUUUGGCGAAUCAGAAGGCACAGAGUCUGAAGGAGAGAGCCUGGUUGGUGAAUUUGACAUUGAACUAGCUUGGGACGAGAAAGAAGUUGCAGACCUGAAAGAUUGCGAUUUGAGAGAUUCAAACUGAGUUUCAUCUACUGAGAGAGGCCUAAAAUGAGAAGGACGACCAGUAACAGGACCUACUUUCUCCCACAUAUCUCCCCUUCCAGAUCUAGAACGCCAUGGAACUUGAGAGGGUGUGGAAAAACUUUCAGUAAAUUUCUCCUCCAGGUUUGAGGGGCCCAUAUCACCCAUCCGUUCCUCGUCCAUACUCCUUCCAGAACUACUGGGAGAACCAAUCAAGCUUGAACUAGACUCGCUUCCAUUACUAAAUUGAGCACUACCUGGGUUUCUAAUCUUUGAUUUUAAACUCCUAACUGGCAAUCCUAACGGUUUGUAACCAACUACUUGCCCAGGUUUCUCCCAUUCACCAAUUGCAUAAUUUGGUUGGGACAAAACAAUCACUGAUUCACCCUGGAAAUACUGAGAAUUCCAAGUCUGAACAACACUAUCCUGAUCUUGCUCAUGUGAAACCUCAGUUUCAUUUUCAAAAUUGAUCGAUCCAGUUUUGCUCUCUCCACCGAUAACAGAGCUACCAUUAGUAACAGUAACCGUAGACUCACCCCUAUAAAACUGAGAAUUCCAAGAUUGAUACAAAUUUUUCUCAUCGAAGCCACAUGGAUUUUCAUACCCAUCCUCAAAAAUCGGGGAAACAUGAAAAAUCCUAGACACAAAAGAUGAUUGUGCAUCGUCAUAGUUAUUGGAGUGGGUUUCAAAGUCCACUUCAACAUUUCUGCGGCUAAACAAGCCAUAGGAGACAGCAACGCCGAUGAAGAGUAAGUGAACAAGCUCCCAGAACUUGGUAAAUAUGGACUGGCUGAUAAAGUUAGGAGCUUGAGAAGGGAAGAGAGGAAUAGCAAUAAGAAAGAGGAGAAAGAAAAGAGACUUACAGAAGAUGUGAGUGUAGGAUUUGUGUCUGGUGACGGGGGAGUGAUUUGCUUCAAACUCCUGAGGUGAGAGAUGGGGCUUAGUGUAAGAUCUUGAAUCUGCCAUUGAUAGAACUGUGUUAGAGCUUCCUGAUAGGCUAGUUUGUGUGUGUUAAAUGGUUGGGGAGGGGAGGGGAGGGUAGGCGAGGUGAGAAGGUGAAGAAAGAAAGGAAGACUUUGAGGGCAAGGAAAAUUAG
rnacentral:misc_RNA from 1 species